rnacentral:rRNA from 1 species
AUUGAACGCUGGCGGCAGGCUUAACACAUGCAAGUCGAGCGGAGAUGAGGUGCUUGCACCUUAUCUUAGCGGCGGACGGGUGAGUAAUGCUUAGGAAUCUGCCUAUUAGUGGGGGACAACAUUCCGAAAGGAAUGCUAAUACCGCAUACGUCCUACGGGAGAAAGCAGGGGGUCUUCGGACCUUGCGCUAAUAGAUGAGCCUAAGUCGGGUUAGCUAGUUGGUGGGGUAAAGGCCUACCAAGGCGACGAUCUGUAGCGGGUCUGAGAGGAUGAUCCGCCACACUGGGACUGAGACACGGCCCAGACUCCUACGGGAGGCAGCAGUGGGGAAUAUUGGACAAUGGGGGGAACCCUGAUCCAGCCAUGCCGCGUGUGUGAAGAAGGCCUUAUGGUUGUAAAGCACUUUAAGCGAGGAGGAGGCUACUGAGACUAAUACUCUUGGAUAGUGGACGUUACUCGCAGAAUAAGCACCGGCUAACUCUGUGCCAGCCGCCGCAGUAACAC